UGAGGAAUAUUGGGCAAUGGGGGCAACCCUGACCCAGCCAUGCCGCGUGAGUGAAGAAGGUUUUCGAAUUGUAAAGCUCUUUCGGAUGUGACGAUGAUGACGGUAGCAUCUAAAGAAGCCCCGGCAAACUUCGUGCCAGCAGCCGCGGUAAUACGAAGGGGGCGAGCGUUGUUCGGAAUUACUGGGCGUAAAGGCUGUGUAGGUGGACGUGUAAGAUAGCGGUGAAAUGCCGGAGCUCAACUUCGGAAUUGCCAUUAUAACUAUGCGUCUAGAAUUAUAGAGAGGAUAGCGGAAUACCCAGUGUAGAGGUGAAAUUCGUAGAUAUUGGGUAGAACACCAGUGGCGAAGGCGGCUAUCUGGCUAUAUAUUGACACUGAGGCACGAAAGCAUGGGGAUCAAACAGGAUUAGAUACC
rnacentral:rRNA from 1 species